CAGCCGCCGCGGUAAUACCAGCACCCCGAGUGGUCGGGACGUUUAUUGGGCCUAAAGCAUCCGUAGCCGGUUCUACAAGUCUUCCGUUAAAUCCACCUGCUUAACAGAUGGGCUGCGGAGGAUACCGCAGAGCUAGGAGGCGGGAGAGGCAAACGGUACUCAGUGGGUAGGGGUAAAAUCCAUUGAUCUACUGAAGACCACCAGUGGCGAAGGCGGUUUGCCAGAACGCGCUCGACGGUGAGGGAUGAAAGCUGGGGGAGCAAACCGGAUUAGAUACCCGGGUAGUCCCAGCUGUAAACGAUGCAGACUCGGUGAUGCAUUGGCUUGUGGCCAAUGCAGUGCUGCAGGGAAGCCGUUAAGUCUGCCGCCUGGGAAGUACGUACACAAGUAUGAAACUUAAAGGAAUUGGCGGGGGAGCAC
rnacentral:rRNA from 2 species